rnacentral:rRNA from 1 species
AUAUUAAUAAGCGGAGGAAAAGAAACUAACAAGGAUUCCCCUAGUAACGGCGAGUGAAGCGGGAUGAGCUCAAGCUUAAAAUCUCCGUGCACGUUGUGCGCGGCGAAUUGUAGUCUAUUGAUGCGUGAUCAGCGCGGGCGGCCGGGGUAAGUUCCUUGGAAGAGGACAGCAUGGAGGGUGAUACUCCCGUUUGUACCUGGUUGUUUUGCGCGUACGGUCCGUUUUCUUUGAGUCGCGUUGUUUGGGAAUGCAGCGCAAAGUAGGUGGUAAAUUCCAUCUAAAGCUAAAUAUUGGUGCAAGACCGAUAGCGAACAAGUACCGUGAGG